GUUCGCGGUCGGCGAGCGCUGGGCACUGGCUCACGCCCCGGAGGCAGCCCCGUUCCAAAACGAAAGCAAUCACGUUUCACCCGGUUCAAACUCUUCGGGCCAGAUAAGCGAACCCCCUCCGUGAUUGCAGUCUCAGACUAAUUUGCCUAUGUAGCGGACGAGACAUUAGCCGAAUAAUUUAGUUUUAAUCGUCAUGCUACCGGACUAAGACUCCACCAGGUAAAUGCCACCCUGGCCCAAUCAGGGGCUCUUUCAAAACCGUUAAAAAAACAUGAUCAUUGUUAUUGGACAAAAUCAGAUAGUCCCGCCUCCAUUUAAAACUCCUUAUGCCGUUUUGUGCCUUCUGACCAACGUGAACGUGUGUUGGUCACGUGGUCGUGGGGUGGGGUCAACAGACAACAUGGAUUUCGAUUUGGCUUCAGCUGUAGGUAAAGAUGAUCAGGUGAAAAAGGAUGAUGCCUCUGGCCAGGAACAGAACGCCCUAUUUGGAUGGGGGAAGAAGAAGGACAAAGAUGGGGAUAAGUGUGUGUCCAAGGACAAAUCAAAGGACCAUGACAAAUCGAAGGACUGUAAGCACCAUGACAAAUCAAAGGACCAUAAGGAGGACAAAGACAAGUCUAAGGAACAUAAAGACAAGAAACAUGGUGACAAGAAGGACAAAGGUCAUAAGAAGAAGAAAGACAAGAAGCCAAAGGAGCAUAAGGACAAAGAUGAUGGGUCAUCAUCUUCCUCGUCCAGCAGCGAUGAGGAUGAAGGCAAGAAGAAGCAUCACUGAUUCUGGUGCUGUGAGGAAGUGCUACUGCCGGUGAACUCUUACAAUGUUUUGUACUGCAAUGUUGCAUGCAUGAUAUUUACUGUGUACUGUUUCCUUGUUGCUCCUGAUCAUGUUUUGAUGUGCCAGACUGUAAAGUAGUGGUUUUACAACCGAAUAUUAAAUAACCCAACAACCAGGAUAUAUGGUGAAUGUCAGACUUCUUUCCUCCCUCGUAAAAAGUCUAAUGUCCACCAGAAGGGGGAGGUGUUCUUCAUUGAAUGUUUAUUUAACCU
rnacentral:lncRNA from 1 species